ensembl:lncRNA
CCCGAAGUUGCAUAGGGCAUAGUGGGCCUUUAACAAAUGCCUUUCUUUCAACAAGGAACUCUCUGUAGCCAAUCAGAUGUCUCCCUCGUUUUCAGCCAAUCACAUGACUGCAGUGACUAGGUUCUUACAUUGUCGGUGCCGUUUACUACUUGCGCUGAAGUGGUUGUUGCGUAACUUCAUCGUUUUUCCAGGCCAUAAACCCACGAGACGCAUGAAAAGGGGAGUUUCACCAACUUGCAGGAUUUCCAAAUGUAAUUGGGUGCAUUGAUGGCACACAAGUGCCCAUACUGGCCCCAUCUAUAAAUGAGGCUGAUUAUGUGAACAGGAAAGGCUAUCACAGUAUAAAUGCUCAGAGUAAGUGUGCUGGACCCUUCUAGUCAAGAUUUUCUGAACACCGAAAAGGUGAAACCUCUACUGGAUUUGACCCAGACUGAGAUGGACG